rnacentral:rRNA from 1 species
CCUACGGGAGGCAGCAGUGGGGAAUAUUGGACAAUGGGGGGAACCCUGAUCCAGCCAUGCCGCGUGUGUGAAGAAGGCCCUCGGGUUGUAAAGCACUUUCAGUGAGGAAGAACGCCUGGUGGUUAAUACCCAUCAGGAAAGACAUCACUCACAGAAGAAGCACCGGCUAACUCCGUGCCAGCAGCCGCGGUAAUACGGAGGGUGCGAGCGUUAAUCGGAAUUACUGGGCGUAAAGCGCGCGUAGGUGGCUUGAUAAGCCGGUUGUGAAAGCCCCGGGCUCAACCUGGGAACGGCAUCCGGAACUGUCAAGCUGGAGGGCAGGAGAGGAAGGUAGAAUUCCCGGGGUAGGGGGGAAAUGCGUAGAGAUCGGGAGGAAUACCAGGGGCGAAGGCGGCCUUCUGGACUGACACUGACACUGAGGUGCGAAAGCGUGGGUAGCAAACAGGAUUAGAUACCCGGUAGUC